UCCUACGGGAGGCAGCAGUGGGGAAUUUUGCGCAAUGGGCGGAAGCCUGACGCAGCGACGCCGCGUGGGGGAUGGAGGCCUUCGGGUUGUAAACCUCUUUCAGCGCCGGAGAAGCAGUGAUGUGACGGUAGGCGCAGAAGAAGCACCGGCUAACUACGUGCCAGCAGCCGCGGUAAUACGUAGGGUGCAAGCGUUGUCCGGAAUUAUUGGGCGUAAAGAGCUCGUAGGCGGUUUGUCGCGUCUGCUGUGAAAACUCGGGGCUUAACUUCGGGCUUGCAGUGGGUACGGGUGGACUGGAGUGCGGUUGGGGAGACUGGAAUUCCUGGUGUAGCGGUGAAAUGCGCAGAUAUCAGGAGGAACACCGGUGGCGAAGGCGGGUCUCUGGGCCGUAACUGACGCUGAGGAGCGAAAGCGUGGGGAGCGAACAGGAUUAGAUACCCCGGUAGC
rnacentral:rRNA from 1 species